rnacentral:rRNA from 1 species
CCGGAUUAGCGGCGAACGGGUGAGUAACGCGUGAGGAACCUGCCUCUCACAACGGGAUAGCCUCGGGAAACCGGGAUUAAUACCGUAUGACACUACUAGUUGGCAUCAUCUGGUAGUUAAAGUGCUAGCGGUGAGAGAUGGCCUCGCGUCUGAUUAGUUAGUUGGUGGGGUAACGGCCUACCAAGACGACGAUCAGUAACCGGCCUGAGAGGGUGAACGGUCACAUUGGAACUGAGACACGGUCCAAACUCCUACGGGAGGCAGCAGCC